rnacentral:rRNA from 1 species
GACGAACGUUGGCGGCGUGCUUAAUACAUGCAAGUCAACUGAAGCAGUGGUAGCAAUAUCGCUGUGGAGGUGGCGCACGGGUGAGUAACACGUAGGUAAUCUGCCUUCAGGUCUGGCAUAACUCCGGGAAACCGGGGCUAAUAGCAGAUGAUGCAGCGGCUCGACAUCGAGACAGUUGUUAAAGCUAUGGCGCCUGAAGAUGAGCCUGCGUCUGAUUAGCUAGUUGGCGGGGUAACGGCCCACCAAGGCAACGAUCAGUAGCUGGUCUGAGAGGAUGAUCAAGCACAAUGGAACUGAGACACGGGUCAGACUUCGACGGGAGGCAGCAGGAAGGAAUAUUGGUCAAUGGGAGAAAUCCUGAAGCAGCAACGCCGCGUGAGGGACGAAGGGCUUUUGCUUGUAAACCUCUGUAGUGAGAGAAAAAAAUCCCAAUCUUUGGGACAUGAUGGUAUCUCAAAAGUAAGCCCCGGCUAACUACGUG